GGGUGUGGGGAAGAGGUGGUUGGGCUAGCAGGUAGUGACAGUCUGGGAGUGGGGUAGAGGUGGCUGGGCUAGCAGGUAGUGACAGUCUGGGUGUGGGGUAGAGGUGGCUGGGCUAGCAGGUAUUUAACUGUCUGGGUGUGAGGUAGAGGUGGCUGGGCUAGCAGGUAUUUAACUGUCUGGGUGUGAGGUAGAGGUGGCUGGGCUAGCAGG